rnacentral:rRNA from 1 species
GACGGAGGGUGCGAGCGUUGUCCGGAUUUAUUGGGCGUAAAGAGCUCGUAGGCGGCUCGUCGCGUCGACCGUGAAAACCCGCGGCUUAACUGCGGGCUUGCGGUUGAUACGGGCGGGCUAGAGUUCGGUAGGGGAGACUGGAAUUCCUGGUGUAGCGGUGAAAUGCGCAGAUAUCAGGAGGAACACCGGUGGCGAAGGCGGGACUCUGGGCCGAUACUGACGCUGAGGAGCGAAAGCGUGGGGAGCGAACAGG